rnacentral:lncRNA from 10 species
CUGCCGUCCACAUGGGCUCGGAAAGAAGGUGGUGAGCCAGGAAUGCUGUGGAGCAAAUCGCUGCAUAUCAGCAGAACCUGGGCUUCAGGAUGCCUCUGUCCCUCUGUGAGAAGCAGAUGAGCAAAGCAAGGCUUAAAGAGCUAAGGAGACUGUGGGAAUGAAGGUUUCGAAGUGGUCUGAAUGGAGAAAGAAGCGGUGGGAGAGCUGAGUCAUCAUGCAGCACACGGCAAGGUAGCAGAAAACCCUGGAGAACAACAGCAGCCUGCCCCAGAGUCAGCCGUGAGCGCUGAUUUAGUUUCAGGAAAACAAUAACACUUUGUCCCAUUAAAUUAAUGUUGUUAAUUUGAAGUUUAUUGGUUUUGCAGUUUGCUUUUAUUUCAUUUAUAAAUUUGUUUUAGCUUUAUGGCUGUGAGAGAGCUCCCUGCAUAAGGAACGUGUACCUGGUUUUAUGUUUGUACAUAUUUAAGUAACAUUAUACUAAAUAUAACUCAAGUCAACAGAGAGCAAUCACAAUGUUUCCCCUCUAAGUGGGGUCUGCACCUUCCUUAAGGAGGGAAAUACAUCUCUUGUCCCCCAGGGUGGAAGCCAUAGAGGGUGCUCACAACCCUGUCUUCAGCUGGCUGCCAGCAGGGCUGUCCUGGCUUGCUUGGGGCCUGUGAUGCUGGACCCCAGUGGAGAGGGAGGGCACGCGUAGGUGGCUCCUCUGAGCAGGUGGCUGUCUACAGGCUGGGGAUGGCAGGGCCCCGGAAGGUCUGUCCCGCCCUGGCCUCCCUCCUGGCUGCUGCCCUACAUUCCUUUGUCUUGGCCCAGGGAGCCCUUAGCCUUAUGGCAAAUUCUUGAAAAGUGUCCCUGACCCAAAGGCAGGGAGGGCCCUGUAGGAACACCCAGGGUCUCAAGGCCAUGGUGGG